rnacentral:rRNA from 1 species
ACCUGACGCAGCGACGCCGCGUGUAKGAAGAAGGCCUUCGGGUCGUAAACUACUGUCAAGAGGGAAGAAACUGWUUGGKUAUAAUACGCCCWUUCACUGACGGUACCUCUAGAGGAAGCACCGGCUAACUCCGUGCCAGCAGCCGCGGUAAUACGGAGGGUGCGAGCGUUAAUCGGAAUCACUGGGCGUAAAGCGUGCGUAGGCGGCGCAUCAAGUCAGACGUGAAAGCCCUCGGCUCAACCGAGGAAUUGCGUUUGAAACUGGUGUGCUAGAGUCUCGGAGAGGUUGGCGGAAUUCCAGGUGUAGGAGUGAAAUCCGUAGAUAUCUGGAGGAACCCCGGUGGCRAAGGCGCSCAACUGGACGAGUACUGACGCUGAGGUACGAAAGCGUGGGGAGCAMACAGGAUUAGAUACCCUGGUAGUCCACGCCGUAAACGAUGGAUAUUAGGUGUCGGGGUUAACACUUCGGUGCCGCAGUUAACGCGUUAAAAUCCCGC